GCGUAGGCUUUGUCAAGUGGUUACUUCGCCAGUACAGAAUUUCGGGUUCUUGCAACUGCAAAUGGAGACCACUGACGCAAUCCUGCGUUUUU
rfam:Stegodyphus mimosarum contig40370, whole genome shotgun sequence.